rnacentral:rRNA from 1 species
GUGAACGCUGGCGGUAGGCCUAACCCAUGCAAGUCGAACGGCAGCACAGUAAGAGCUUGCUCUUACGGGUGGCGAGUGGCGGACGGGUGAGGAAUACAUCGGAAUCUACUUUUUCGUGGGGGAUAACGUAGGGAAACUUACGCUAAUACCGCAUACGACCUACGGGUGAAAGCAGGGGAUCUUCGGACCUUGCGCGAUUGAAUGAGCCGAUGUCGGAUUAGCUAGUUGGCGGGGUAAAGGCCCACCAAGGUGACGAUCCGUAGCUGGUCUGAGAGGAUGAUCAGCCACACUGGAACUGAGACACGGUCCAGACUCCUACGGGAGGCAGCAGUGGGGAAUAUUGGACAAUGGGCGCAAGCCUGAUCCAGCCAUACCGCGUGGGUGAAGAAGGCCUUCGGGUUGUAAAGCCCUUUUGUUGGGAAAGAAAAGCAGCAGGUUAAUACCCCGCUGUUCUGACGGUACCCAAAGAAUAAGCACCGGCUAACUUCGUG